rnacentral:lncRNA from 1 species
AGGUACUGACACAACAGGAAGUGUUCUGGAAGCAAAGAUCGAAGCAACUAUGGUUGAAGGAAGGGGACCAAAAUAGCAAAUUCUUUCAUACUAGUGCUAAAGCUCGGAGGAAGUCGAAUCAAAUUAGGGAGCUGUACAAUGACGAAGGUAAUAGUGUGGGGGUGGGAAUCAGGUCUUUAAGAACUCAUGAUAUCUUAUUUUGCUGACUUAUUAAAUGCCAAAGCCUCGGCAACAGAGUGGAAAAACGUGGUGGAUGAUAGGAUAUAACCCGGUCAGGGGUGAUCCGGGUCCUUCGUAAGGACUUCUGCCACCGGUAGUUGCUGGCCACACAAGACAAGCACCACUGCUGCCAGGGUACACAACCCGGGUAGGAUCCUGGACCUAGGGAACGUAAGCCUACCUCUCACCCGGAGUCCACAUAAGGCCAAACCGACAACUGCACGGACGCAGACUGACAUGAUAAAGACAACACAUAACGGUCAACUACUGGACGAUAAAGACAAGUAAGAGAACAUUCCAAAGACUAUUCUCACGCUGACACCCGGACAUGUGUAGGAGAUCAAACCCCUACAUGUGUAGGACCAGGAUCCAAGGUACGUCCCCUUGAACCCUAAUCCUUGGCCUAUAAAUAGACCAAAGAAGAAGGGUUUAGGGGUUACAUUCUCUCUACACUCAUAUUUUGCACGCACCUAAGCACUCAGCAAAAUACACAAAUACAAAAGCCACCAGCCACCAUACAUAGCCACCAUACACCACCCUUCCACACACAUAGAUAAAUCAUUUCUCAGUCGUAUCUCUUCCAAAUCCUACUCUUAUUCUCACGCCGGAGGCGCCGCGAGGCUCAAACCCCCCUCCGGCGUUGUUUUGUAGGUGCCCUUCCAGCAGCGACACCUGAGAACAACCAUCCAAUUGCAAUCUGUUGUAACACUUUUAAGACCUUUGGUAACAAUUUUAUAUUGUUACAAUAAAUUUACUGUAACAUUUUUUUGUAACACUAUAUACUCAAAAAGUGUUGCAUACCAAUAAUUUUAAAUUUUUUUGUAACACUUUUGUGCAACAUUAUUAAACCAA